rnacentral:rRNA from 1 species
CACGUAGGGUGCGAGCGUUGUCCGGAAUUACUGGGCGUAAAGAGCUCGUAGGUGGUUUUGUCGCGUUGUUCGUGAAAAUCUCACGGCUUAAACUGUGAGCGUGCGGGCGAUACGGGGCAGACUUGAGUACUGCAGGGGAGACUGGAAUUCCUGGUGUAGCGGUGGAAUGCGCAGAUAUCAGGAGGAACACCGGUGGCGAAGGCGGGUCUCUGGGCCGAAAUUGACGCUGAGGAGCGAAAGCGUGGGAGCAAACAGG